rnacentral:rRNA from 1 species
GGGCUUACGACCUCGAUGUUGGAUCAAGGUAUCCCGGUGGUGCAGCCGCUACCAAAGGUUCGUUUGUUCAACGAUUAAAACCUCACGUGAUCUGAGUUCAGACCGGAGAAAUCCAGGUCAGUUUCUAUCUGUAAAGAGCUCUUUCCAGUACGAAAGGACAGAAAUAGCAUGGCCAAUGUAUUAUACAAGCCAUACCUAAUAUUUUACGACUACUCUUAAAAAAUUAUUACCCUCUCAUUUUUACUCAAAAUAAGAGAA